AACGAACGCUGGCGGCGUGCCUAACACAUGCAAGUCGAGCGAGAAAAGGGGGGCAACUCCCUGAGUAAAGCGGCGAACGGGUGAGUAACACGUAGGUGAUCUACCUCCGAGACCAGGAUAACCCGCCGAAAGGCGAGCUAAUACCGGAUAUGACCACGGGCGUUUCGGCGCCUGCGGUGAAAGGUGGCCUCUGCUUGCACGCUACCACUCGAAGAUGAGCCUGCGCGCCAUAGCUAGUUGGCGGGGUAACGGCCCACCAAGGCGAUGAUGGCUAGCUGGUCUGAGAGGAUGGCCAGCCACACUGGAACUGAAACACGGUCCAGACUCCUACGGGAGGCAGCAGUGGGGGAUAUUGCGCAAUGGGCGAAAGCCUGACGCAGCGACGCCGCGUGGGUGAUGAAGG
rnacentral:rRNA from 1 species